GACGAACGCUGGCGGCGUGCUUAACACAUGCAAGUCGUACGGUAAGGCCCUUUCGGGGUUCCCCGGUGGCGAACGGGUGAGUAACCCGUUUGUAACCCUCCCCCCACCUUUGGGUAACGCUUGGAAACUGGUUCUAAUUCUUGAUAUUUGCUCCUUCUUCCUUGGUGGGGUUUGAAAACCUCGGGGGUUUUGGGUGGACUCGGCGCCCUUCAGCCUGUUGGUUGGGUUGUGGCCCUCCAAGGCCGCGUCGGGUAGCCGGCCCUGGAGGGUGAGCGGCCACCUUGGGACCGGGAUACGGCCCAGACUCCUACGGGAGGCAGCAGUGGGGAAUAUUGCAAAAUGGGCGGAAGCCUGAUGCAGCAACGCCGCGUGCGGGAUGACGGGCUUCGGGUUGGAAACCGCUUUCAGCAGGGACGAAGCUUUUUGUGACGGUACCUGCAGAAGAAGCACCGGCUAACUACGUG
rnacentral:rRNA from 1 species